rnacentral:rRNA from 1 species
UGGCCAGACUCCUACGGGAGGCAGCAGUGAGGGAUAUUGGUCAAUGGCCGAGAGGCUGAACCAGCCAAGUCGCGUGAGGGAAGAAGGCCCUGCGGGUCGCAGACCUCUUUGGACGGGGAGCAAGGCCGCCGACGUGUCGGCGGAAGGAGAGUACCCGUAGAACAAGCAUCGGCUAACUCCGUGCCAGCAGCCGCGGUAAUACGGAGGAUGCGAGCGUUAUCCGGAUUUAUUGGGUUUAAAGGGUGCGUAGGCGGGCUUUUAAGUCAGCGGUAAAAAUUCGGGGCUCAACCCCGUCCGGCCGUUGAAACUGGGGGCCUUGAGUGGGCGAGAAGAAGGCGGAAUGCGUGGUGUAGCGGUGAAAUGCAUAGAUAUCACGCAGAACCCCGAUUGCGAAGGCAGCAUACCGGCGCCCAACUGACGCUGAAGCACGAAAGCGUGGGUAUCGAACAGGAUUAGAUACCCGGGUAA